rnacentral:misc_RNA from 1 species
UCGUACUCAAAGUUUCACUUGCAGAUGACCAUCACUUCAAUACCAUGUUAGCUAUUGAUUAGAAGUCAUGUCGCUUGUCAGUAGUUUCAUCAAAUAAUGUUUGAUUAAUCAUCAAAAUAAAUGAAUUUUUCUGGGAUGGUUUAGCUAGAUGAUGUUAUGAAUAAUAUGUCAACCUUCGUAUGAUUAUGUGGUAUAUAUGGAAAGAACG